UGCAAGUCGAGCGAAUCGAYGGGAGCUUGCUCCCUGAGAUUAGCGGCGGACGGGUGAGUAACACGUGGGCAACCUGCCUAUAAGACUGGGAUAACUUCGGGAAACCGGAGCUAAUACCGGAUACGUUCUUUUCUCGCAUGAGAGAAGAUGGAAAGACGGUUUACGCUGUCACUUAUAGAUGGGCCCGCGGCGCAUUAGCUAGUUGGUGAGGUAAUGGCUCACCAAGGCGACGAUGCGUAGCCGACCUGAGAGGGUGAUCGGCCACACUGGGACUGAGACACGGCCCAGACUCCUACGGGAGGCAGCAGUAGGGAAUCUUCCGCAAUGGACGAAAGUCUGACGGAGCAACGCCGCGUGAACGAAGAAGGCCUUCGGGUCGUAAAGUUCUGUUGUUAGGGAAGAACAAGUACCAGAGUAACUGCUGGUACCUUGACGGUACCUAACCAGAAAGCCACGGCUAACUACGUGCCAGCAGCCGCGGUAAUACGUAGGUGGCAAGCGUUGUCCGGAAUUAUUGGGCGUAAAGCGCGCGCAGGUGGUUCCUUAAGUCUGAUGUGAAAGCCCACGGCUCAACCGUGGAGGGUCAUUGGAAACUGGGGAACUUGAGUGCAGAAGAGGAAAGUGGAAUUCCAAGUGUAGCGGUGAAAUGCGUAGAGAUUUGGAGGAACACCAGUG
rnacentral:rRNA from 1 species